rnacentral:piRNA from 1 species
GACGGUGUGAAUGACUCUCCAGCUUUGAAG